CUUUCUGAGACCAAGGACCCACUGCGAGUACAACCGCACUUGAAAAAGUGCUUUGAGGGCAUCGCUCAGUUGACCUUCACUCCUGACACCAUUAUUACAGGGAUGGAGUCAGCAGAGAAAGAGGUGGUGGAGUUCUCCAAAACCAUCGCUCCCAUGGAGGCCAAGGGGCUGGUCGAGAGGUGGCUGCUACAGG
rfam:Crassostrea gigas strain 05x7-T-G4-1.051#20 contig4377, whole genome shotgun sequence.